AGGGAAGUAGUUCAGUCUGGAAGAACGCUUCGUUUGGGACGAAGAGGUCGCAGGUUCAAAUCCUGUCUUCCCUACCA
rnacentral:tRNA from 1 species